rnacentral:rRNA from 1 species
ACUCCUACGGGAGGCAGCAGUGGGGAAUAUUGGACAAUGGGCGCAAGCCUGAUCCAGCCAUGCCGCGUGAGUGAUGAAGGCCCUAGGGUUGUAAAGCUCUUUCACCGGUGAAGAUAAUGACGGUAACCGAAGAAGAAGCCCCGGCUAACUUCGUGCCAGCAGCCGCGGUAAUACGAAGGGGGCUAGCGUUGUUCGGAUUUACUGGGCGUAAAGCGCACGUAGGCGGACUAUUAAGUCAGGGGUGAAAUCCCGGGGCUCAACCCCGGAACUGCCUUUGAUACUGGUAGUCUUGAGUUCGAGAGAGGUGAGUGGAAUUCCGAGUGUAGAGGUGAAAUUCGUAGAUAUUCGGAGGAACACCAGUGGCGAAGGCGGCUCACUGGCUCGAUACUGACGCUGAGGUGCGAAAGCGUGGGGAGCAAACAGGAUUAGAUACCCCAGUAGUCCCAUG